rfam:Brassica oleracea var. oleracea cultivar TO1000 chromosome C8, whole genome shotgun sequence
GGAAUAUAAGAACCCGUCUCUUAACUUUUAACUAAAAAAGCUAAGAACCGGUUCUUAUAGUUUUAAGAACCGAUUCUUAACUUUUUUAGUUAAAGGUUAAGAGACGGGUUCUUAUAUUCC